AUUGCACGCUGGCGGCAGGCCUAACACAUGCACGUCGAACGAGUGGCGGACGUGUGUGAAGUGUCUGUGAAACUGCGCGAUGGAGGGGGAGACGUACUGGAAACGGUAGCUAAUACCGCAUACCAUAGGAUGUGCUCAGAUGGGAUUAGCUUGUAGGUGAGGUAACGGCUCACCUAGGCGACGAGUCCUUGCUGGUCUGAGAGGAGGACCAGCUACACUGGCACUGAGACACGUUCCAGACUCCUACGGGAGUCAGCAGUGGGGUAUAUUGCACCAUGUGCUCAAGCCUGAUGCAGCCAUGCCGAGUGUAUGAAGAAGGCCUUCGGGUUGUAAAGUACUUUCAGCGAGGAGGCGUUACCCGCAGAAGAAGCACCGGCUAACUUCGUGUCAGCAGCCGCGGUAAUUC
rnacentral:rRNA from 1 species